rnacentral:rRNA from 1 species
AAACUGCGAAUGGCUCAUUAAAUCAGUUAUCGUUUAUUUGAUAGUACCUUACUACUUGGAUAACCGUGGUAAUUCUAGAGCUAAUACAUGCUAAAAACCUCGACUUCGGGAGGGGUGUAUUUAUUAGAUAAAAAACCAAUGCCCUUCGGGGCUCCUUGGUGAUUCAUAAUAACUUAACGGAUCGCAUGGCCUUGCGCCGGCGACGGUUCAUUCAAAUUUCUGCCCUAUCAACUUUCGAUUGUAGGGUAUUGGCCUACAAUGGUUUCAACGGGUAACGGGGAAUAAGGGUUCUACUCCGGAGAGGGAGCCUGAGAAACGGCUACCACAUCCAAGGAAGGCAGCAGGCGCGCAAAUUACCCAAUCCCGACACGGGGAGGUAGUGACAAUAAAUACUGAUACAGGGCUCUUUUGGGUCUUGUAAUUGGAAUGAGUACAAUUUAAACCCCUUAACGAGGAACAAUUGGAGGGCAAGUCUGGUGCCAGCAGCCGCGGUAAUUCCAGCUCCAAUAGCGUAUAUUAAAGUUGUUGCAGUUAAAAAGCUCGUAGUUGAACCUUGGGCCUGGCUGGCCGGUCCGCCUCACCGCGUGCACUGGUCCGGCCGGGCCUUUCCUUCUGGAGAGCCGCAUGCCCUUCACUGGGUGUGUCGGGGAACCAGGACUUUUACUUUGAAAAAAUUAGAGUGUUCAAAGCAGGCCUUUGCUCGAAUACGUUAGCAUGGAAUAAUAGAAUAGGACGUGCGGUCCUAUUUUGUUGGUUUCUAGGACCGCCGUAAUGAUUAAUAGGGAUAGUCGGGGGCAUCAGUAUUCAAUUGUCAGAGGUGAAAUUCUUGGAUUUAUUGAAGACUAACUACUGCGAAAGCAUUUGCCAAGGAUGUUUUCAUUAAUCAGUGAACGAAAGUUAGGGGAUCGAAGACGAUCAGAUACCGUCGUAGUCUUAACCGUAAACUAUGCCGACUAGGGAUCGGGCGAUGUUAUCUUUUUGACUCGCUCGGCACCUUACGAGAAAUCAAAGUUUUUGG